AAAAUGAGGACAAAUUCCAAUUUAUUUUUUUUAAGAAGCAGUUUCUGUUGACUGACAAUCAAGUAAUCACAUUCAGUGAAUCAACAAGCUAUAGGCAACAAUUAAUAAACAAUCUGUGAUGAUCCACAAAAGAUCUAGUAGCAACUGGACCUAUGGUUUAGGCAGAGGAAUUUAUUGUCUCAACCUGUUUAUCCAUAUGUUAUCACUUUCUCAAUAAUUUAAGAUUACUUGUCUUACUGACCAUUUUCUAUCUUACUUUAUCCGACUCAAUAUCCUGUGGACAAAAAGUGAGUCUGAGCUUAAAGAAAGUGACUUAGAGCACCCUAACAAGUUCAUAUUGUGUGCUACACCUGUUUAUCCAUACAAUAUCACUUAUUUCACAGAUGACUUGUCUCACUAACCAUUAUUUAUCUUUCUCUCUUCUCCUCUUCCUCUACCACCUGAGCUGCUGCUAUUCACUGUGGAUAAGAUAAUAAGACAAUAAGACAGAGAAUGUUAGGACAUCCAGGGUUUCCAUGACGACAGCAAAGAAACGCUCAUUCUGACCCGAUCAGAGGCAUGAGUGAGGACAGGACGAGCUGCAGAGCAGACGGUGUACAUCCAGGGUUCCCGUGACAACAGCGAAGAAACGCUUACUCCUGACCUGAGCAGAGGGAUGGCUGACAAUAAGAUAAGAAGAGAGCAGUGGCAGACUAUAUAUACCUGUAUUUAUUUAAAUUUUUUAUUUUUUUAAGACCCGGGUCUUUGGUCCUCGUGGAGCCCCUGAGAGUGGACACAAAACCAGCAUCACACACACACAUACACACACACACACACACACACACACACACACACACACACACACACACACACACACACACACACACACACACACACACAACCCUACACACACACACACACACACACACACACAUACAGCAGUGCACUGAACACACAGAAGCACCCUCAGCACCAGACUCUGCACUGGAUAUUGAAUUCAAUCAAAUAAAGACAAAGUCAGACAUGUGAAAUGA